rnacentral:rRNA from 1 species
UAUUGUUAGUUGCUACCAUUUAGUUGAGCACUCUAGCGAGACUGCCCGGGUUAACCGGGAGGAAGGUGGGGAUGACGUCAAAUCAUCAUGCCCCUUAUGUCUAGGGCUACACACGUGCUACAAUGGCAAGUACAAAGAGAUGCGAUACCGCGAGGUGGAGCUAAACUAUAAAACUUGUCUCAGUUCGGAUUGUAGGCUGAAACUCGCCUACAUGAAGCUGGAGUUGCUAGUAAUCGCGAAUCAGAAUGUCGCGGUGAAUACGUUCCCGGGCCUUGUACACACCGCCCGUCACACCAUGAGAGUUGGCAAUACCCAAAGUUCGUGAGCUAACCCGUAAGGGAGGCAGCGACCUAAGGUAGGGUCAGCGAUUGGGGUGAAGUCGUAACAAGGUAGCCGUAGGAGAACCUGCGGCUGGAUCACCUCCUUUCUAUGGAGA